rnacentral:rRNA from 1 species
UGAUCCCAUGGCUCAGAUUGAACGCUGGCGGCAGGCCUAACACAUGCAAGUCGAGCGGCAGCACGGGUACUUGUACCUGGUGGCGAGCGGCGGACGGGUGAGUAAUGCCUAGGAAUCUGCCUGGUAGUGGGGGAUAACGCUCGGAAACGGACGCUAAUACCGCAUACGUCCUACGGGAGAAAGCAGGGGACCUUCGGGCCUUGCGCUAUCAGAUGAGCCUAGGUCGGAUUAGCUAGUUGGUGAGGUAAUGGCUCACCAAGGCGACGAUCCGUAACUGGUCUGAGAGGAUGAUCAGUCACACUGGAACUGAGACACGGUCCAGACUCCUACGGGAGGCAGCAGUGGGGAAUAUUGGACAAUGGGCGAAAGCCUGAUCCAGCCAUGCCGCGUGUGUGAAGAAGGUCUUCGGAUUGUAAAGCACUUUAAGUUGGGAGGAAGGGCAGUUACCUAAUACGUAAUUGUUUUGACGUUACCGACAGAAUAAGCACCGGCUAACU